rnacentral:rRNA from 1 species
CCUACGGGUGGCAGCAGUGAGGAAUAUUGGUCAAUGGACGAGAGUCUGAACCAGCCAAGUCGCGUGAGGGAUGACGGUCCUACGGAUUGUAAACCUCUUUUGCCGGGGAGCAAGCGUGCGUUCGUGAACGCACGUCGAGAGUACCCGGAGAAAAAGCAUCGGCUAACUCCGUGCCAGCAGCCGCGGUAAUACGGAGGAUGCGAGCGUUAUCCGGAUUUAUUGGGUUUAAAGGGUGCGUAGGCGGGAUGCCAAGUCAGCGGUAAAAAUGCGGUGCUCAACGCCGUCGAGCCGUUGAAACUGGCGUUCUUGAGUGGGCGAGAAGUAUGCGGAAUGCGUGGUGUAGCGGUGAAAUGCAUAGAUAUCACGCAGAACUCCGAUUGCGAAGGCAGCAUACCGGCGCCCUACUGACGCUGAGGCACGAAAGCGUGGGUAUCGAACAGGAUUAGAUACCCUGGUAGUC